CCCAACUACAACACAUCAAACACACAUUACAAGCUACAUUGUUCAUGACCAUAUAUUUAUACCCAUAAACAUAACUAUAACCUAAACAUGCAUUCUACCCCGAAGAACUUCAUAAAACUUACUUAAAACAUAAUAUAAGCUAGAGAUCGACUCUUACCUCUUGAAGAUCGAGAGUAGAGGCGACCAAACUUGGAGUUGGGAGAGAUUUGAGUUCUUGAACCUCAAAGCUCCAAAACUU
rnacentral:lncRNA from 1 species